GACGAACGCUGGCGGCGUGCUUAACACAUGCAAGUCGAGCGGAAAGGCUCCUUCGGGGGUACUCGAGCGGCGAACGGGUGAGUAACACGUGAGUAAUCUGCCCUGCGCUCUGGGAUAGCCACCGGAAACGGUGAUUAAUACCGGAUAUGACCGCUACACGCAUGUGUUGGUGGUGGAAAGUUUUUCGGCGCAGGAUGUGCUCGCGGCCUAUCAGCUUGUUGGUGAGGUAAUGGCUCACCAAGGCUUUGACGGGUAGCCGGCCUGAGAGGGUGACCGGUCACACUGGGACUGAGACACGGCCCAGACUCCUACGGGAGGCAGCAGUGGGGAAUAUUGGACAAUGGGCGGAAGCCUGAUCCAGCAACGCCGCGUGAGGGAUGACGGCCUUCGGGUUGUAAACCUCUUUCAGUACCGACGAAGCGUGAGUGACGGUAGGUACAGAAGAAGGACCGGCCAACUACGUGCCAGCCGCCGCGGUAACAC
rnacentral:rRNA from 1 species